GUUGUGUGGUUGAUCUCUUAGGGAGAGCUGGGCUACUACAGGAAGCGUACGACUUCAUAAAGAAGAUGCCUUUUGAAGCUGAUGCCACUGUCUUGGGGGCUCUGAUGGGUGCUUGUAGACUUCAUGGAGCUAUUGAAUUGGGAAAUGAAUUAUCACAACUACUGCUUGAGUCGCAACCGAAUCAUUUGUGCUGGCGCAGAGAGGUGGGAUUAUGCUGCUGCCUUGAGAAAAGCAAUGUUAGAUGCUGGAAUACACAAGGUUUCAGCCCACAGUUUUAUUUAGUGGAGAUGUUAACUGCAGCAUCAGCUAAGUCAUAGCUUGAUAGAUACAUUUUUGUGAAAUCUCGACUCAUCAAAAUCAGUUAAAAGGAUGCUGCAUAUGGAUUUUGCAGAGAGAUUAAAGCACUGCUUAAAGAAAGCUGUAGUGAUAUCCUUUUGUUUGGCGAGGUCUCUAUGCAAGUUAUUUUUUAGGGCUGAGGCGUAGUUUGUUGUUGUGUAACAGUGAUGCUUGGGUCAACUUGUGUUCUAUUCAAUUAAUUCAACUGGUACCAUCUACCUUCCACCAAUAGAGAUAUCGGGUAACUCUGUCAUCCGAGACUUAGAUGGGAAGAGUUGAAGGUUCUUUCUUCAGCUCUUCAAAGAAUGUAGAUUCCAGUUGAAAACACAUGAUGUUGUCUAUGUAAGGCUCAGGCAGUAG